CUGGGAAUGUUACCAACCUGCAGAAGCUGUUUUUUAACUACCGCCUGAGCAGUUGCAGGAUGGCCGUGGAAUGUGCAUUUGGCUGACUGAAAGGAUGAUGGAGGGCGCUUCCUCCAAUACAAUAUCUGUGAGAGCCACAGAGGUUUUCAAGGAGUCAUGGGAAGAA